CGCACGGGUGAGUAACGCGUAUACAAUUUACCUUUUACAGGAGAAUAGCCCAGAGAAAUUUGGAUUAAUACCCCAUGGUAUUAUUAGAUGGCAUCAUUUAGUAAUUAAAACUACGGUGGUAAUAGAUGAGUAUGCGUCCUAUUAGUUAGUUGGUAAGGUAAUGGCUUACCAAGGCAUCGAUAGGUAGGGGUCCUGAGAGGGAGAUCCCCCACACUGGUACUGAGACACGGACCAGACUCCUACGGGAGGCAGCAGUGAGGAAUAUUGGGCAAUGGACGAGAGUCUGACCCAGCCAUGUCGCGUGCAGGAAGACGGCUUUAUGAGUUGUAAACUGCUUUUAUACAGGAAGAAACCCACCGACGUGUUGGUGGCUGACGGUACUGUACGAAUAAAGACCGGCUAACUCCGGUGCCAGCAGCCGCGGUAAUACGGAGGGUCUAAGCGUUAUCCGGAAUCAUUGGGUUUAAAGGGUCCGUAGGCGGGCUAAUAAGUCAGAGGGUGAAAUCCCACAGCUUAACUGUGGCACUGCCUUUGAUACUGGUUAGUCUUGAGUCAUAAUGAGGUAGAUGGAAUGUGUAGUGUAGCGGUGAAAUGCAUAGAUAUUACACAGAACACCGAUUGGCGAAGGCAGUCUACUAAUUAUGUACUGACGCUGGAGGGACGAAAGCGUGGGUAGCGAACAGGAUUAGAUACUCUGGUAGUCCACGCCGUAACGAUGGAUACUAGCUNNGGCCCGCNNGCGGGUCAGUGGCCAGCAAAGUGAUAGUAUCCACUUGGGAGUACGUUC
rnacentral:rRNA from 1 species